ACGCGAGCUGGGUGCAGAACGUCGUGAGACAGUUCGGUCCCUAUCCGUCGCAGGGGUAGGAAAUUUGAGAAGACCUGUCCUUAGUACGGGAGGACCGGGAUGGACGUACCUCUGGUGUACCAGUUGUCCUGCCAAGGGCAUGGCUGGGUAGCUAUGUACGGAAUGGGUAAGCGCUGAAAGCAUCUAAGCGCGAAGCCAACUUCAAGAUAAGAUUUC
rnacentral:rRNA from 1 species